rnacentral:rRNA from 1 species
CCUACAUGAAGCUGGAGUUACUAGUAAUCGCAGAUCAGAAUGCUGCGGUGAAUGCGUUCCCGGGUCUUGUACACACCGCCCGUCACACCACGGGAGUUGGAGACGCCCGAAGCCGAUUAUCUAACCUGUUGGAAGAAGUCGUCGAAGGUGGAAUCAAUAACUGGGGUGAAGUCGUAACAAGGUAGCCGUAUCGGAAGGUGCGGCUGGAUCACCUCCUUU